rnacentral:rRNA from 1 species
AUUGAACGCUGGCGGCAGGCCUAACACAUGCAAGUCGAGCGGCAGCGCGGGGGCAACCCUGGCGGCGAGCGGCGAACGGGUGAGUAAUACAUGGGAAUCUGCCUGGUAGUGGGGGAUAACUCUGGGAAACUAGAGGUAAUACCGCAUACGUCCUACGGGAGAAAGGGGGGGAUCUUCGGACCUCUCGCUAUCAGAGGAGCCCAUGUCCGAUUAGCUAGUUGGUGAGGUAAAGGCUCACCAAGGCGACGAUCGGUAACUGGUCUGAGAGGAUGGUUAGUCACACUGGAACUGAGACACGGAUCCAGACUCCGUACGGGAGGCAGCAGGUGGGGAAUAGUUGGACAAGUGGGGG